rnacentral:lncRNA from 1 species
UACUGGAAUCACACUGUCUCCUGUCAGCUUUCUCUCCCUCCCCCGGCCCUCCUGCUGAUGAGAGACAGGAGCGAUGGAUGGUCUGAGUUAGCGGGGUCCCGGCACCACCCAGCGCAAAGGCACUGCACUCACGCACGCCAUGCACAUGCUGGCUCACCUCCUCCAUCCCAUGCCUCCCCUGUCUCCAGCAUUCCCUCUGGAAUACAUCAGCACUGUUGCCUUUGAGGCUGGCCUGCUUGAAUGCACACCUGAGCUCCGGAUUCACAGUGGAGGAAGCCAGAUGCCAUGUCAUGAGGGUGCUCAAGCAACUUUUUGGAGAUGUAUGUAUGGAGAGAAACUGAGGCCUCCUGCCAACAGCCAGCACUAACUUGGCAAGCAUGUUUGAGAGCCACCUGGGAAGUGGAGCCUUCAGCCCCAGUUAAGCCUUCAGAUGAGACUGCAGUCCUGGCCACCAUCUGGACUGCAACUUCACAAGAGCUCCUAAGCCAGAGCCAUGCAGAUGGAUUCUUGGCCCCCAGAAAUUGUGCCACUACAUUUUGGGAAAUUUAUUAUGCAGCCAUAGAUUACCAAUACACUCACUAUUUCUUUUUUCUGAUGCCAUACUAUAUUUUUGUUUGCUGAUUUUUUUCCUCCGUCUCUCCCACUAGGCAUUAAGUUCCAUAAGGGCAGUGACUGUGUCUGCGUGGUUCAUCCAUGUGUCCCCACAGCCUGGCAUAUGGAGCUCACUAAUAACUCAGGCAUGGGUAAAUGGAGAUCACUCAUUUUAGGCUCAGCCUAAUAAAUCUCCCUCCUAUGGCUCUCUCUAGAGAGAGCAGUAAAAUUUGCCCAACUUCUUUUUCUGUCUUUCUGUAUUUGAUUUCUUACACUUUCUGUGGCUUUCUGCUUAGUUUUAUUCCUGGCUGCCUGACAGAGGGUGGGUUUAUGCAGAUAAAGAGGCACCUGUGG